rnacentral:rRNA from 1 species
CUGAGUAGCCAAGUCUGGACGGGAUAAGUGCUGAAGGCAUCUAAGCACGAAGCCCCCCUCAAGAUAAGAUUUCCCACCACGGGAAGUGGGUAAGACUCCAGGGAGACUACCUGGUAGAUAGGCCUUAAGUGUAAGAGCAGUAAUGCUUUAAGCUUAAAGGUACUAAUAAGUCGAGGGCUUGACCAG